rnacentral:rRNA from 1 species
AGUGAACGCUGGCGGUAGGCCUAACACAUGCAAGUCGAACGGCAGCACAGUAAGAGCUUGCUCUUACGGGUGGCGAGUGGCGGACGGGUGAGGAAUACAUCGGAAUCUACUUUUUCGUGGGGGAUAACGUAGGGAAACUUACGCUAAUACCGCAUACGACCUACGGGUGAAAGCAGGGGAUCUUCGGACCUUUCGCGAUUGAAUGAGCCGAUGUCGGAUUAGCUAGUUGGCGGGGUAAAGGCCCACCAAGGCGACGAUCCGUAGCUGGUCUGAGAGGAUGAUCAGCCACACUGGAACUGAGACACGGUCCAGACUACUACGGGAGGAAGCAGUGGGGAAUAUUGGACAAUGGGCGCAAGCCUGAUCCAGCAAUACCGCGUGGGUGAAGAAGGCCUUCGGGUUGUAAAGCCCUUUUGUUGGGAAAGAAAAGCAGCAGGUUAAUACCCCGCUGUUCUGACGGUACCCAAAGAAUAAGCACCGGCUAACUUCGUG